AAAUAUUGUUAAGUGAAUGGAUAGGAGGAUAAAUAAAGGUAGGUAUGUCUAUAUAUACGGAUCAAUACAUUUAUUUUCCUAUCUUGCUAGGUUCUAGGAAAAUCAACCAAUUGAUUGGUAAAUCAAUGUCCAAAUCUUUUCGGAGUUAGGAAAAAAUUGUAAUUAUAUGUCUCAUAGAGCUUGUGGUUAGGAAAUUCCAUGUUUGGUUUUUGGGAUUAAGGAUUAUAGUUUGUAGCAGCUACAAUGCCACAUAAUUUUCUCUUUCUGGAAACACUUGAAAGGUAUAUUUUUUAGGCUUCCUUGCAGUUAGGUUGGGGCUAUGGAAUGUGGGCAGAAAUGAUGUAAGCCACCCAUUCCUUACGUCUGACCUUUAAGAAAGACUACAUAUUCCAGCUGUUUCUUUUUGGCAGUUACAGGGGUCAUGUGUUCCUAAUGGAGUACCUAAUGAGAGUCCCUGGAUCAUCUUUUGGAGGAGACUUGACCAACCCACACUGAUGAGGCGGAAAUGGGGCCAGAAAGAAAAAGACAGGAAGGUCCUGGGAAAAGCAAGAGUAAUUUGAAAGAAGACAAGAAUCAAUAUACUUCGUAUGAGCUACAAAGGAUAAAGGCAAUGUGA
rnacentral:lncRNA from 1 species